rnacentral:rRNA from 1 species
AUUGAACGCUGGCGGAAUGCUUUACACAUGCAAGUCGAACGGUAGAGGGGGCAACCCCUCGAGAGAGGCGAACGGGUGAGUAAUAUAUCGGAACGUGCCCAGUCGUGGGGGAUAACGUAGCGAAAGUUACGCUAAUACCGCAUACGAUCUAAGGAUGAAAGCGGGGGAUCGCAAGACCUCGCGCGAUUGGAGCGGCCGAUAGCAGAUUAGGUAGUCGGUGGGGUAAAGGCUCACCAAGCCAACGAUCUGACGCUGGUCUGAGCGGGCGACCAGCCACACCGGAACGGAGACACGGUCCAGACUCCUACGGGAGACAGCAGGGGUGAAUUUUGGACAAUGGCCGCAAGUCUGAUCCAGCCAUUCCGCUUGCAGGAUGAAGGCCCUCGGGUUGUAAACUGCUUUUGUACGGAACGAAAAGGUCUCUCUUAAUACGGGGGGCUCAUGACGGUACCGUAAGAAUAAGCACCGGCUAACUACGUGCCAGCCGCCGCGGUAA